rnacentral:tRNA from 1 species
AAGGCUUUAGCUUAAUUAAAGCAUCUGGUUUGCAGUCAGAAGAUACAGGCUAGUGUCCUGUCAGUCUUA